UUCUAUUAGAUUUAAUUAAUAGUAAAAUCUGCUCCAUGAUAAUUAAAUAGCCGCUAAACGUGCUAAGGUAGCAUAAUAAUUUGUCUUUUAAAUGAAGUCUAGAACAAAAGAUUUAACAUUUUAAUUAAUAUAUCUACUAUUAUAAUCAAACUUAUUUUAAGUGUAAAAAAACACUUAUAAAAAAGAAAGACGACAAGACCCUAUUGAACUUAACUAUAGUUAAACUGGGGUAGUUUUUUAAUUAAAAUUUUAAAUUAAUUAUAAACAAACAUCCAUUUUUAUUGAAACAUAAAUCAGUUACCAUAGGGAUAACAGCGUUAUAUUCUUUUAAAGCUCUUAUUAAAAAGAAAACUUGCGACCUCGAUGUUGAAUAACAAUCUAAUUAAAGCAAAAAUUAAUAAAGAAAGUCUGUUCGACUUUUAAAAAGUUACA
rnacentral:rRNA from 1 species